rnacentral:piRNA from 1 species
UGAAUAAGCCCUACUAUUGUUACUGGCGGG